rnacentral:rRNA from 1 species
UACGAAGGGGGCUAGCGUUGCUCGGAAUCACUGGGCGUAAAGCGCACGUAGGCGGAUUGUUAAGUCAGGGGUGAAAUCCUGGAGCUCAACUCCAGAACUGCCUUUGAUACUGGCGAUCUUGAGUCCGGGAGAGGUGAGUGGAACUGCGCGUGUAGAGGUGAAAUUCGUAGAUAUUCGCAAGAACACCAGUGGCGAAGGCGGCUCACUGGCCCGGUACUGACGCUGAGGUGCGAAAGCGUGGGGAGCAAACAGG